AUUAUUCAAAUUAUAUGACUUAACACAUUAUCAGCACAUAUUAUAGCUAUUUACAUUCCAAUCACAGACCGGCAAUAACCGAGAGAUAACGAUUAACCAGCCUUUUAAAUUAAAAAAUUUGAUAGCUGAUAGAUGGAUUGAUCUCAUGCUCUACCAAAACUACCGAACAAUGACAUCAUGCUAAUCUUUGUUUUUAUGAUUUAAUAAUUAAGUAUUUUCCGAAAAGAUCGUUCGAAAUAUUUUGUAAAGGAUAACAUUCAACACAAAUUGCAGCAGUAAUAUAUUCUGCACUGCGUUCAUUCAAUCAAUUUCACGUCCGUCGUACAAGAAUUUUAAAAUGAUUCACUUAACUAUGAAAUGAGGGUAGUUUCAUGACUUAUUAAAAAGACAUGUUGGUAUCAAAGCAAAAAUAGAUCGAGAAUAAGAGAGGUAUAGAUAGAACAGAGGUUUCGUGAUCGUAAUUGAAGAGGUUCGUAGGCGUGCCGCACGCCACGGCAGCGCACUCAACCAGGAGACAUCUUGUAUGUAUUUGACUCUAGUAAUUUCCCCGUCUGUCCUUGUAUAUUUAAGCGGCGGCUUCGGAGCCGUUCUCAUGCAUAUGUCAUGAACAGUUGCCGUGCGACGGUUUGUUGACGGCGAAGCCGCGGGAACGGCCACGACAGCCCCCCUCCCGAUAUCGACCACCACCGACAAUUAUUACGUUCUACUUUCGAUCUCAUGGCUAUCGGCACCACCCCCAUGAUAACUACCGCAGUGCCACCACGCACCUCGAAGGGAUGAGGCGACAAUUAAAUACCAUCUUUGAAUUUUAUCUGUUUCGCGUAUCUUGAAUGACGGACAACAUAGGAUCUACCCAGCUCUUCACUUCUUAAGCCCCAAUAGAAAUUUGCCGUACUGCUGAUAGGCAUUUUGAAAGCCUUUACGGUUUCAGCAAAACAGGACGAGCAUGGGCUUAGCCAGGAGGGAUGGAAUUUGCGAACAGCUACCUGAGCGUCUAUAAAGGAGACCUAACAACUCAAGAGCAGCUGCUUCACGAGUGAAUCUACUGCCGAAUCGGAAUCGCGACCCGCUGAGAAGAUCCGGCGAGAAACUCA